rnacentral:rRNA from 1 species
AAGUCGUAACAAGGUCUCCGUAGGUGAACCUGCGGAGGGAUCAUUACCGAGAGAGGGCGCCUCGCGCGCCCGCCCUCCCAACCCUUUGCGAACCGUACCGCGUUGCCUCGGGUGGCCCCUAGCCGGGCGCCCCGAGGACGUCUCACCAAACCCUGCGUCCCUGCGUCGGAGUAUGAUAUUGAAUCAAUCAAAACUUUCAACAACGGAUCUCUUGGUUCUGGCAUCGAUGAAGAACGCAGCGAAAUGCGAUAAGUAAUGUGAAUUGCAGAAUUCAGUGAUCAUCGAAUCUUUGAACGCACAUUGCGCCCUUGGCAUUCCGAGGGCAUGCCCGUUCGAGCGUCAUUACACCACUCGAGCCUGGCUCGGUAUUGGGCGCGGGACCCCGCGCCUCUAUUUGUCGGCUGGACGGUUCGAAUCUCAGCGUUGUGGUUCAUCAGAUCGCUGACGAGGACGACGGACGCGCCGUUAAACCCACCACAGGUUGACCUCGGAUCGGGUAGGGAUACCCGCUGAACUUAA